GCUACAGCAUUACUAUACGUUGACUUUGUAUGGAGUCGAAUGCGCCCGUCGCCUGGAACGCGUCUAUACAUUGACUUUGCAUGGAAGUUGCGCCGCCCCUUCGCUUUUGGUGUGAACGCGCCAUUACUUUAGUUUCACUUUUCACAUAAACGAUGUGACGCAGUUAGCUGUGGUUCAAAGCUCUUCCUCUUUCUGAUCUGUCUGCCCUAAGGACCCAAGCAGCUCAAUCUUUACUCUCAGAACCUUUGUUAAUGUCCUGUCUCGCUUCUAAACACUUCUCUGUUAUUUGGUGAACACCUACAUCUCUUUAUUCCCUCCUUUCCUUGCAUUUGUUAUUCUAUAUUUCCAUUCAACACGGGCAGCACACUUUUCGUCACGGAAAAGAUAAGGUCUCCAGUCUACUAUGGAUGAGGAGAGAGAGGAGGGGGCUCCUACCUCUAAAACCACUCUGUCUGGGGAACAUGGCCGCCAGAGCAAAGCUAAGAGCCCAGAGCAGCGGGAGAGAGCAGACUCCCCUGGACCCAGCUGUGUCUCCUUGAAGAGUGACUGGUCUAUGGAUUAUCCGCAUAACUUUAGAGAUGGAAAUCAAUCUAUUGAGAAGAGAAGAGUCCAGAAGGAGAGAGCAGACUCCCCUGGACCCAGCUGUGUCUCCUUGAAGAGCGACCGCUCUAUGGAUCAUCCUCCUAGACUUAAAGAUGGACGCCCCUCCAGAGAGGAGAGGCGACUCCAGGAGAGGUCAAAGGUUACCAGUGCUCAGUCUGUACAGCAGCAUCAAGCAGAGCUGAUGAAGAGGGCUGAGGAGAACGCACACGCUUUUCUAGACAAGGAGCUGAAGAAGCUCUGGAGGGAUCUCUUCUCAAAUUACCCACAAUGCUCAGAGAGUCAGAGGGAGAAGGAGGAGGAGCUGGAUGAUAAGAACGAGGAGCAGAGGAGGCGCGCCAUAGAGGGAGUGGUAGACAUCACAAAGCUCUGCCUGAUGGAGAUGAACCAGGAGGAACUGGCCGACAAGCUGGGGAGUGGAGCUGUUGCGGUCCAGUGGCAACAUGAACUCAAGGCUCAUCUGAAGAAGAAGUUCCACUGUGUGUUUGAGGGAAUCGCUAGAGCCGGAGAGCAGAGACCUCUGAAUGAGAUCUACACAGAGCUCUUCAUCACAGAGAGAGGCAGUGGAGAGGUCAACAAGGAACACGAGGUCAGACUGAUUGAAAAGGCAUCCAGGAAAACUGCCAAUGAGGAAACACCAAUCAGAUGUGAAGACAUCUUUAAACCUGGACAAGAUAAACCAAUCAGAACAAUUAUGACAACCGGAGUGGCCGGCAUUGGUAAAACUCUCUUAACCCACAAGUUCACUCUGGACUGGGCAGAAGGCAAAGCCAACCAAGACAUAGACUUCGCAUUUCUCCUCACUUUCAGAGAGCUGAAUUUACUGAAAGGGAAAGAGUUUAGCUUGCUGGAACUUCUUCAUCAGUUUUCUGUUGAAACCAAAGAAUCAGGAAUCUACAGAUACGACCAUGACCAAGUAGUCUUCAUCUUGGAUGGUCUGGAUGAGUGUCGACUUCCUCUGGACUUCCAGAACAACCCGAUCUGGACGGAUGUCACCAAGCCGACCUCAGUGGAGGUGCUGCUGACAAACAUCAUCAGGGGAGUCCUGCUUCCCUCUGCCCGCAUCUGGAUAACCACACGCCCUGCCGCAGCCAAUCAGAUCCCUGCUGAGUGUGUUCACAUGGUGACAGAGGUGAGAGGGUUCAACGACCCACAGAAGGAGGAGUACUUCAGGAAGAGAUUCAGAGAGGGGACAAUGGCCACCACAAUCAUCUCUCACGUCAAGAAAUCUCGAAGCCUCCACAUCAUGUGUCACAUCCCAGUCUUCUGUUGGAUCACUGCUACAGUUCUAGUGGACUUCUUCAAAACAUCCCAGAGAGGAGAAGAGGUGCCCAAGACCGUGACUCAGAUGUACAGCCACUUCCUGAGGGUUCAGUCCAUACAGGGGGACAGGAAGUAUCAUGGGAGAGCUGAAACUGAUCCGCACUGGAGUUCAGAGAGCAGGGAGAUCAUUGUUUCUCUGGGGAAACUGGCUUUUAACCAGCUGGAGAAAGGCCAGCUGAUCUUCUACGAGGCAGACUUGGCAGAGUGUGACAUCGAUAUCAGAGCAGCCUCAGUGUACUCAGGAGUGUUCACCCAGAUCUUUAAAGAGGAGUGUGGACUGCACCAGGACAGGAUGUUCUGCUUCAUCCAUCUGAGCAUCCAGGAGUUUCUGGCUGCCCUUUAUGUCUUUCUGUCCUACAUCAACACUGGUGUCAACCUGCUCUCAGAAGAACAUCCAACCUCCAGGGAAGCUGAACUCCUCCCCCUCUACCAGAGUGCUGUGGACAAGGCCUUACAGAGUGAGAACGGGCACCUGGACUUGUUCCUCCGCUUCCUCCUGGGCCUCUCUCUAGAGACCAAUCAGAUGCUCCUACAAGGUCUGCUGGGACCAAGAGGAAGUAAAUUACAGGACAAUCUAACAAAAAACGUUCCAUCCGGGCAGACAGGAAGGAGGUCACAAAUCAAUACCCAAAUAGUCCAUUACAUCAAGGAGAAGAUAGGUGGAGAUCUCUCUCAAGAGAGAAGCAUCAAUCUGUUCCACUGUCUGAAUGAACUGAAUGACAGUUCUCUAGUGGAGGAGAUCCAACAGUACCUGUCAUCAGGAAGUCUCUCCACUGAAUCUCUCUCCUCUGCUCAGUGGUCAGCUCUGGUCUUCAUCGUACUGACAUCAGAAGAGCAGCUCGACGUGUUUUACCUGAAGAAAUACUCUGCUUCUGAGGAGGGUCUUCUGGGGCUGCUGCCAUUGGUCAAAGCCUCCAAAACAUCUCUGCUGAACAGCUGUAAGCUGUCAGAGAGAUGCUGUAAUGCUCUGGCCUCAGUUCUCAGCUCCAACUCCUCUAGUCUGAGAGAGCUGGACCUGAGUACCAAUGAACUGCUGAAUUCAGGAGUGAAGCUGCUCUCUGCUGGACUGGGGAGUCCACACUGUACACUGGAAACUCUCAGGCUGAAUUGCUGUGGGCUGUCAAAGGGAUGCUGUAAAGCUCUGGCCUCAGCUCUCAGCUCCAACUCCUCUCGUCUGAGAGAGCUGGACCUGAGUUCCAAUCGUCUGCAGGAUUCAGGAGUGGAGCGGCUCUCUGCUGGACUGGGGAGUCCACACUGUACACUGGAAACUCUCAGGCUGAUUGGCUGUCAUCUGUCAGAGCGAUGCUGUGAAGCUCUGGCCUCAGUUCUCAGCUCCAACUCCUCUAGUCUGAGAGAGCUGGACCUGAGUACAAAUGAUCUGCAGGAUUCAGGAGUGAAGCUGCUCUCUGCUGGACUGGGGAGUCCACACUGUACACUGGAAACUCUCAGGCUGACUGGCUGUCAUCUGUCAGAGAGAUGCUGUGAAGCUCUGGCCUCAGUUCUCAGCUCCAACUCCUCUAGUCUAAAAGAGCUGGACCUGAGUACCAACGAUCUGCAGGAUUCAGGAGUGAAGCUGCUCUCUGCUGGACUGGGGAGUCCACACUGUACACUGGAAACUCUCAGGCUGAAUUGCUGUGGGCUGUCAAAGGGAUGCUGUAAAGCUCUGGCCUCAGCUCUCAGCUCCAACUCCUCUCGUCUGAGAGAGCUGGACCUGAGUUCCAAUCGUCUGCAGGAUUCAGGAGUGGAGCGGCUCUCUGCUGGACUGGGGAGUCCACACUGUACACUGGAAACUCUCAGGCUGAUUGGCUGUCAUCUGUCAGAGCGAUGCUGUGAAGCUCUGGCCUCAGUUCUCAGCUCCAACUCCUCUAGUCUGAGAGAGCUGGACCUGAGUACAAAUGAUCUGCAGGAUUCAGGAGUGAAGCUGCUCUCUGCUGGACUGGGGAGUCCACACUGUACACUGGAAACUCUCAGGCUGACUGGCUGUCAUCUGUCAGAGAGAUGCUGUGAAGCUCUGGCCUCAGUUCUCAGCUCCAACUCCUCUAGUCUAAAAGAGCUGGACCUGAGUACCAACGAUCUGCAGGAUUCAGGAGUGAAGCUGCUCUCUGCUGGACUGGGGAGUCCACACUGUACACUGGAAACUCUCAGGUUGUCUGGCUGCCUGGUCACACAGGAAGGCUGUGCUUCUCUGGCCUCCGCUCUGAGCUCCAACCCCUCCCAUCUGACAGAGCUGGACCUGAGCUACAAUCACCCAGGAGACUCAGGAGCUGCGCUGCUCUCUGCUGGACUGGAGGAUCCACGCUGGAGACUGGACACUCUCAGUGUGGAGCACAGUGGAGUGUGGAGACUGAAACCAGCUCUAAAGAAGUAUGCCUGUGAACUCACACUGGACCCCAACACGGCCCACAGACGACUCUCUCUGUCUGAGGACAGCAGGAAGGUGACGCGGGUUGAAGAGGACCAGUCGUAUCCGGAUCACCCAGAGAGGUUUGACGUCGCGCACCAGGUGUUGUGUAGAGAGGGUCUGCCUGGCCGCUGCUACUGGGAGGUAGAGUGGGGAGGAUGGGUUGAUAUAGGAGUGGCAUACAGAGGAAUGACAAGGAGAGGAGCGGGUAGUGACGGCGUGCUUGGAUGGAACAACAAGUCCUGGUGUCUUGAUUGUGAUGACGACGACGAUGCUGCUGCCUACGUUGCCUUUCACAACGGUAGUAGAACAGACAUACGUCUCCCCCCCCCUCGCUCUAACAGAGUAGGAGUGUAUCUGGACCGGCCCGCUGGCUCUCUGUCCUUCUACAGAGUGUCCCCAGGAGGAGGAGGGUCCUCAGACACACUGACACACAUCCACACCUUCCAGGCCUCCUUCACCCAGGAGGUCCUCCUCCCUGGGGUUGGGUUAGAUAAGAGUGGUUCCUCAGUGUCUCUGUGAGUGUCCAUUGUAGACACACAAACGCACACAGACCCAUUGAAAAGUACACACAUGUAGACAGUCAUAAACACACCCAAACCAACAAUCACAUAUGUACAUAGAAAUUAACACACACGCACACACAAACAAACACAUCGUUCAUGACUCUAUAAACAAACACACACACAAGCACACACAAACAAACACAUCGUACUCUAUAAACACACACACACACACGUACACAGACUUAUUUACACACACACACACACACACACACACACACACACACACACACACACACACACACACACACACACACACACACACACACACACACACGUACACAGACUUAUUUACACAGACAUGCACUCACGCACACACAUCCUUCAUGGAUCUAAACCCACAUCAGGUCUGUGUGCCGGUGGUAAGCAGCAGGUAACAUCAGUGUCUCUCGUGGUUCAUCUCUCAGCCCUCUCUGUGUUCAGCUGGGCUGCUGAGCGUCAGAUUAGAGGGGGCCGCUUGGGUCUGGGGGGUCCUCACAGUCCUGACGUUGUUGAGGACCAGCUGUUAGGGGGACGUUUGAAUACCUGUGGACCCAUGGACGUACCUGUAGUGCAUCGGGUUGUUGAGCAGCAGCUGUUGGUGCUCUGGGGGGUCAACCCGUUCAGUGGAAGUACAACACUUUGUGAUUGAUUUAAAUACUCCACUGAACUCCAAAUGCUGCAUUUUAUUGGGCUUCUGAAAGGUUCAGCGUAAACCAUGAAAGGAAGAUCUUCCUUUGGGUUAAGCCGGUUGUACAAAGAUUUACUUUCUAAUGUAAAAUGUGUUUUAAAUGAAUCCAAAAUCAGUUUAUAUUUUGCCAUGCCUAACAUGGAACGUGAUUUAAAGCAGAUUUAACAACAUAAUCAUGAAUGAUGAUAAGAGUUCUAUGGGAAAGGGUAACAAUUUUGUAAAUUACUUUCAACGGAAGAUCGUUUCUUUGUGUUCUUUUGGGAACAAGUCAACAUGUUCAGUCAUUAAAGAUGCCUUAUGAUUUGUAAUUGUUCAUAAAUCAUAAUGUUAAUAAACUACUCAGUUUGUCAAUUGAA